rnacentral:rRNA from 1 species
AAAACACGGGAUACCUCAGUAACGGCGAGUGAACCGGUAACAGCUCAAAUUUGAAAUCUGGCUCUUUCAGGGUCCGAGUUGUAAUUUGUAGAAGAUGCUUCGGGUGUAGCUCCGGUCUAAGUUCCUNGGAACAGGACGUCAUAGAGGGUGAGAAUCCCGUAUGUGACUGGGUGCUUUCGCUCAUGUGAAGCUCUUUCGACGAGUCGAGUUGUUUGGGAAUGCAGCUCAAAAUGGGUGGUAAAUUUCAUCUAAAGCUAAAUAUUGGCCAGAGACCGAUAGCGCACAAGUAGAGUGAUCGAAAGAUGAAAAGCACUUUGGAAAGAGAGUUAAACAGUACGUGAAAUUGUUGAAAGGGAAGCGCUUGCAACCAGACUUGCAUGCGGUCGAUCAUCCAGGGUUCUCCCCGGUGCACUCGAUCGCGUUCAGGCCAGCAUCGGUUUCGGUGGUUGGAUAAAGGCCUUGGGAAUGUGGCUCUCUUCGGGGAGUGUUAUAGCCCAAGGUGCAAUGCAGCCUACCGGGACCGAGGACCGCGCUUCGGCUAGGAUGCUGGCGUAAUGGUUGUAAGCGACCCGUCUUGAAACACGGACCAAGGAGUCUAACAUCUAUGCGAGUGUUUGGGUGUCAAACCCAUACGCGUAAUGAAAGUGAACGGAGGUGAGAACCCUUAAGGGUGCAUCAUCGACCGAUCCUGAUGUCUUCGGAUGGAUUUGAGUAAGA